CAGAGGUCCCAAGCGUUGUUCGGAUUCACUGGGCGUAAAGGGUGCGCAGGUGGGUUUGCAAGUUCGAUGUGAAAGCCCCGGGCUUAACCCGGGAAUGGCAUUGGAUACUGCAGAUCUGGAGGAUUGGAGGGGGGGACUGGAAUUCUUGGUGUAGCAGUGAAAUGCGUAGAUAUCAAGAGGAACACCAGUGGCGAAGGCGAGUCCCUGGACAAUACCUGACACUGAGGCACGAAAGCUAGGGGAGCAAACAGGAUUAGAUACCCUGGUAGUCCUAGCUGUAAACGGUGCGCAUUUGCUGUAAACGGAAUCGACCCCGUUUGUGGCGAAGCUAACGCGAUAAAUGCGCCGCCUGGGAAGUACGGUCGCAAGAUUA
rnacentral:rRNA from 1 species